rnacentral:rRNA from 1 species
CCUACGGGUGGCUGCAGUGGGGAAUAUUGCACAAUGGGCGCAAGCCUGAUGCAGCCAUGCCGCGUGUGUGAAGAAGGCCUUCGGGUUGUAAAGCACUUUCAGCGGGGAGGAAGGCGGUGAGGUUAAUAACCUCAUCGAUUGACGUUACCCGCAGAAGAAGCACCGGCUAACUCCGUGCCAGCAGCCGCGGUAAUACGGAGGGUGCAAGCGUUAAUCGGAAUUACUGGGCGUAAAGCGCACGCAGGCGGUCUGUCAAGUCGGAUGUGAAAUCCCCGGGCUCAACCUGGGAACUGCAUUCGAAACUGGCAGGCUAGAGUCUUGUAGAGGGGGGUAGAAUUCCAGGUGUAGCGGUGAAAUGCGUAGAGAUCUGGAGGAAUACCGGUGGCGAAGGCGGCCCCCUGGACAAAGACUGACGCCCAGGUGCGAAAGCGUGGGGAGCAAACAGGAUUAGAUACCCCGGUAGUC